rnacentral:rRNA from 1 species
CAGUCGCCGCGGGAAUACGAAGGGGGCUAGCGUUGUUCGGAUUUACUGGGCGUAAAGGGCGCGUAGGCGGACUGAUAAGUCAGGGGUGAAAUCCCAAGGCUCAACCUUGGAACUGCCUUUGAUACUGUUUGUCUUGAGUUCGAGAGAGGUAAGCGGAACUGCGAGUGUAGAGGUGAAAUUCGUAGAUAUUCGCAAGAACACCAGUGGCGAAGGCGGCUUACUGGCUCGAAACUGACGCUGAGGCGCGAAAGCGUGGGGAGCAAACAGGAUUAGAUACCCCCGUAGUCCCUGUCUCUUAUAA